rnacentral:rRNA from 1 species
ACGGGUGAGUAAUGCUUAUCUUACCUACCAUUUAGUGGGGGAUAAAAUACCGCAUGCCCUUUGGCUUCGGUCAAAGGAAAGGAAGCCUUUGGGCUUUCGCUAAAUGAUGGGGAUAAGUCGCAUCAGUCGAUGAAAGUGGGGUAAUGGCCUACUGAGGCAAUGACGCGUAGCCAGGCUAAGAGGCUGAUUGGCCACAAGGGAACUGAAACACGGUCCCUACUCCUACGGGAGGCAGCAAUGGGGAAUCGUCGGCAAUGGGGGCAACCCUGACCGCGCAAUGCUACGUGAAGGAGGAAGGUCUACGGAUUGUAAACUUCUUUACUCAGGUGUACUCCUAAAAACUUGCAUCUGAGCAAAAAGCCACGACUAACUACGUGCCAGCAGUCGCGGUAAGACGUAGGUGGCGAACGUUAUCCGGAAUUAUUGGGCGUAAAGGGUGCGCAGAUGGUCUGACAAGUUAGCAGUGGGAAAUCGAGGCUCAACCUCGUGGAAGCUGGUAAUACUGUCUGACUCGAGUACAGGAGAGGUUAACGGAACUCCAUGUGGAGCGGUAAAAUGCGUAGAUAUAUGGAAGAACACCAAUAACGGCGAAGGCAGUUAACUAUUCUGUUACUGACAUUGAGGCACGAAAGCGUGGGGAGCAAAACGGAUUAGAUACCCGUGUAGUCCACGCCCUAAACGAUGAGUGCUAGAUAUUGGGAACUAGAUUCUCAGUGUCGUCAGGUAACCCAGUAAGCACUCCGCCUGGGUAGUACGGUCGCAAGGCUGAAACUCAAAGGAAUUGACGGGGACUCGCACAAGCAGUGGAGCAUGUGGUUUAAUCCGAUACAACGCGUAGAACCUUACCAAGGCUUGACAUGUUCGGCAAAACUCGGGAAACCGAGCGGAGGUUAUCCGAACACAGGUGCUGCAUGGCCGUCGUCAGUUCGUGCCGUGAGGUGUAUGGUUAAGUCCUAUAACGAACGCAACCCUUAUACUUAGUUACCAGCAUUCAGUUGGGGACUCUAAGUAGACUGCCUGAGUAAUCAGGAGGAAGGAAAGGAUGACGUCUGGUCGUC